AUAUAUUAUAAAAUGAUUACCACAAUAAAGUUAGUUAAUAUUUUCUUUGAAUAGAGCAUAGUGUUGUGGUCAAACGUACUUGUAAUGUAGUGAUACUUCCAGGCGUGCAGAGGAAUGUUCGAGUUCUGGCUCUGCUACUACUGUGCUCUGUAAUCAUGGAUGCAUCUGUUUUCAUCUCAGGGCCUUAAUUCCUCCCUCUGUAAGACAAGAGGUGAGAAUAAUUGUCUUGAAGGUUCUUUUAACUCCAACCUGGCAGGAGUUUCGAUGCAAAUUUCUCUUGAUGAGCUUGUUUGAUGCGAAAGUCUCAUGGACUCUGAGGAGAAAAGACACAUAUCCCUAGGUUUUGGGGGUUUAACAUUCUUUUCUACUUGUGAAUGGGGGAGGGGUUUGUGGGGAGAAGGUGGGCCGUGACACCAAUGUGUUUGUUUUUAUGUCACUUCAUUUUGAAUAUAGUCAAGAUUGGCUGGGUCAGAUAAUAUCAAUACUCAACAGAAUUGCCUAAGCUGUCAAAUAAAAAUUAAAAAUAAACGCUUUCUUUAAUUCAAUUCAAUAACACAUGCCAAUAACCCACAAAGAGUAGUGUUAGGUGUUAAGGGGAAAUUAAGGCUGAAGAACCCCAAUUUUGCCCUCAAGAAGCUUCCCUCUUGUGGAAGAAGUCAACAACUGACUGUAAAACAAAACCAUUUGGAACAUAUUCAGUAGAAAAAAAGCAAUAACCAGCCUGUCUUGAGUACUUAUUAUAUGCCAAGCACUGGCCUAAGCAUUUUAUGUAAUCUCUUUUGAUUUUAAUAAUGACUCCAUGAGGUAGAUAUUUCAUUUUUCAGAUGAAGAAACUGAGGCACAGCUGGGGAGUGGCAGAGCUGAGAUAUGAAUCCCACAGCCUAGCUCUAAAGCUCAUGCUCUUAAUCACCUGCAAUACUGUUUCCUGAUAAGCCCCUGCCCCAUGACAUAGAAGAGGGGCAGGAGAGACACAUUGCAACAGAGACAGUAGUAGGUGGCAGAGCAAUCCACAAAGACUGAGGAUGCUUUUCAUGAGCAGAGCAGGGGAAAGAGAAGAACACUUUUCCCACUGGGUAACAUCAUCCCCACUGUCACUGACAAGGGAAUCUGUAAACAGAGAUGUAAUACAGUGUGCCUACAUUUUCACAGAAAAAUAACUAAAGCUAGGACUGGAGCCCAGAUAUCUUGCCUUUUCUUCAAAGCUUUCCCUAUUUGUCCCUGGCUUCUCAAAUAUAAAUAAUCAUUUGAGGGCCAACUCAAGAUUUUUGACUCAUUUGCAUACCAUCUGUCUUAUUGUUUCUUUCAUGUUUUCUUUGGAGUAACUCUUUUUUUUAAACCAAAAUGGAAAUAUGACAGAAGAAAAGUUGAUCUUCCUACUUUAAAUGGAAAACAGGUAUCAAUUGUUAUAAUUAUUUAAAACCCUCUUCUAAACUUUACAACAGAAAGAUAGCGUUUACCCAGGCACCACCCAGACACCUCUCCCCGUGCGUGUGUGGUCAGUCUUGAGAGGCUGCCGCGACUUCCUGCUGACUUCACCUGUCAGAGACAGGAUUUGAGUCGGCACUGCAGGUUCGGCGCUUCACUGCUCCAUCUCGGGGCAACUUACCAAGUUAGAGCCUCCGUGAAAUAAAUGUAAAUUGUAUACAAAUGACCCAAGCCUUGAUCCUGAUGAAAAAACAACAUGAAACUUCUGCCCUUAUUUUCUCCUCUUGAUAAACAUAUAUGGCCUAAAGAUAAAUGUCUUGGGGAAAAGAGUGGAUCAGUGAAUCUUUUAUCCCCAUCCCCAGCGUGUGCAGCAUUUUUGACCACUCGCAGGAGUGCAGGCCCUGCAUCGUGAGUGACAAGUACAGCAGGUCCUUGCCUUUGGGGAUCAUAUCUGAGCCUGAAUUUGGGGCUAUAAACCUAUGGAACUGGGCUCAUGGUGGUUGGCCCACAACAAUCUCUCAGUGGUAGGUAACCAGCUUGUGCCAAAUGUCAUCUGCAUGGAUGCAUUUGAGCCUCACCACAACUCCACAGGUGGACAGACUUUUUGAAAUCCCCGUUUCACAGAUACGGGUCAAAGAAGUUAAGCCAUUUGCUGGGGUCACACAUUUAGAAUGAAGAGGCAACAGGUAAAAUGGUGAGAAUGCGGGACCCAGGGCCAUGGUUUCCUUUUCUUUGGAGGGGCAUGUGGAGAAGGGUCUGAGAAGCAGAGUCGAGGUGACUGUGAAAGCUCAGCUUAACUCUUGUGUCCGCCAUUGCAAGUUAGGAGGGGACGUUUCUCAGUUAAUGCUGAUUUAUGUGCGACUAACAGACAGGGGGAAAAAAAAGGAAGCCUGGUUUCUAAUUUUACAUUCUGUGGCACUUUACUAAAAAGCCCCUCAAGGUGGCCGGAAGUUGGAAGCCCUCAAGGUGCGAAGCCCUGGACAGAUGCAAAGGUGCUGGGUGGGGGUGGGGGGUCACUGAGAGAUAAUCUGCCACAUGGCUUCUGGACUGGGUCUUAACUCUUAGCAGCAAUUAGGGUUUUCUUCUCUCUGUCUACUUAUUUGCAUAAUGUCAUACCCAUAUGGUCUUGUUUUAUUUACCUCUUCAAGGGGAAAAACUACUUUAGAAAGAGAUGAAACCAGAAGCCUUGACUUUCAGAAGCCCUGCUUCUGUCCCUCCUGCUCUCCCACCCUGUCUCUUUAAUUCUGUCCCAUCUUUGCUUCUCUCUCCUGACAUCUUGAUUUUGAUAAACCAGGAACUUGCUUGAGUGAUAGGAUCCAUUUCUUCCAGUGAACGGUUCCAGUGGGUGUCUUGUUGAGGGGUUUAUUCCAGCGGCAUUUACAGCCCGGGUGAGUUUAAGCGUGACCUAUUCCCAUUUCUUUCAUGAUGGAGGAAGUUUGAGAGGUGUACCAAGGCUAGUUCUGCUCAGAGAGAUGAAAGGCUUGAAUUACAUGCUGCUUUGCUGUUCUUCUGGGAUUUCUGAAGAGUGAUACCCUCAAUUUUGCCAUUUUAGGUGUGGAUUUUGUAAUUUACACACGGUUCUUUAAUGUUCUUCAAGACAGAGUUUGCAUCUUGUGUCGGGGGUAAGAGAGUAAAUAUUUCAACCUUCCCUUGUUCUUGAAAUGAUUCCGGCUGAUUUGGUGAUUCAGUCAUGUCUUCUUGACUCUCUACACUAUGGCGGUCAAAUUCCUGACAAGUAUUACACAACAACCAAAAAAACAAAUAAAUUAUAAAGCUCUUUAGAGACACAGUUAAAGGAUGAUCCAUUGCUCUUUAAAAUCUUUAAUUCCAUGUUUCUUUAUUAAACAAGCAUUUAUUUUAGGUGCAUGACAUGCCAGGCACUGGGCUAGAUGCCCAGGAUUCAGAGUUGGAGAAGAUCUAGUCUCUGUUUUGAAUCUGUUCAGAGUUUGCUAAUUUCACAACUUAGAGGUCCCAGCUACACAAGAGCUGUGGAAAUGACAGAGCUUUAGGAAAUAUGUGAACUCCGUGAGACACUGAAUGCAAGAUUUUAUUGGCAUGUGUGUUUUUCUGGGAAGAGGGUUCAUAACUUCCAUUGGAUUCUUGAAGCAUUCAUGAACAAAAAUGCUUUAGAACCAUGGCUUCUGCAACUGCAGUAGAAAUUUUAGUUGACCUACCCCUGGUUAUCUACAAGUAGGAUCUUCGCUCCUUGCUCAGCCCUGGUGGGUUAUCUGCAUUUGGGGCCUGGUCAGCUGGCCUUUAAGUCCAUCUUCUGAGAGUAGACUUCUAAAACUGGGUCAAUGUCUUUGGCACAGAGCCUUGUAUCCAUGAAGUUUUUACAUUUUCUAUAGCUCUUAGCUUUUGAAUCACAAAUAGGAGGUCCAUGAAAACUGCAUUGAUUAAUUAUGCUCUGGUUUUGUCACCGAAUUCUCUACUCAGCCCUUGCUUGUCUGCCAUUCUGCUCCAUCUCUGGCCACUGUGAAAUAUUCUGCCUCUCCCAAGGCAGGGUGAGAAUAGAGAACAUUCCUUAAUUGGGGUGUGUGCACACACAUGCUUACUCUGAAAGUUCUCUAAUGCUCUCGCUCCUAAUGCUUUGUUCCUUAACUAUCAUGUGGAGAGAGGUGUUUGGACACCACAUUAAUAAUAGCUCUUAGUAUGUAUGUGGCACAUUCCAUUUUCAAAGGCAUUUAUAAACAUUGAAAGAUGAAAGUGUACACCACUCAUCUUGGAAAAAAGGGAAUGUUAAUCAUCACUGUGCUCAUUCCUUGGAGAUGGUCACAGAAUCUGAGAGCUGGAAGGGAUGUCAGAGGUCACUGGCUCAACCUCCAGUCCCUAAAGGAAUUCUCUUUCCCUUGAAGCCCACCACGGGUGAGUAUUUCCUACAAUCUCUUUCUAGAGUUCAAGCAAACUCUGUCCUCCUGUAAAUUUCAGUAAUUCUCUCUCUCUCAUCUAUUUCUCCCUUUCUUUCUUUCUCUCUCUUUUUCUUUCUUCCUUUCUUUCUUUCUCUUUCUCCUUCCUUCCUUUCCUUCCUUCUUUCCUUCUUCCCUCCCUCUCUCUUUCCUUCCAUCCUUCUUUCCUCCCUCUCUUUCUCUCUUUCUGCAGAGCCCCCCUGAAAUUACAGAUACAUGAACAAAAUGGUGUUGUUUUAAGUCGUUAAAUUUUGGAUGGUUUGUUACAUAUUGAAAGAUAUCUGUCCACACCUGGGCAGACUGGGAUGUCUGGCCACCGUACUUGUGACGUUCCAGGCAGUAUAGUACCCUGCCGCCCUCACGUUGCACCCAGCCUUGAGUCACCUUUCUUGGCUGCCGUUCUCUGACCUAAAGCCACUGAGGAUUUCAAUUCCAAACUUUUCCUUCUCUGAGCUAGCAAAGCACCUUCAGAUCUCGUUAUUCUUGUAACUGCUGCUAUGCUGGAGACGAGUGUAUUCCACUCCCUAAAGUGCUGACCAAGAGAACUUUGAGCAAGCUGUCUUUCCUUUUUGCUGGAUAAUAGUUAAAAUAAAGAGAAUGUUUACCAAGUGCCUGCUACUUCUCAGGUGCUGUGGUGAGUGCUUUUCACCCACACAGUUUUCACCAAACACUAUGAGGUAGGUGUAUUUGUUAUCUCAUUUACAGAUUGGGAAGCUGAGGCCCAGAAAGAUUAAGUAGCUGUCUAAAGCUGCACAGCCAAGAAGGAAUAGAAUUAGGAUUCGAAUUCAGGUCUGUCUGGCUCCAGAACCACACAAUUAAUAUCAUGCUAUUUGUAUGGCACACAAAAGGUCUUUCAUAAUGAUGAUGCACUGCUUUCCACCCUUUUGCCCCAAGCAUCCCUUCUAUGCUUUUCUCAUCAUAAACUAGAAUUUUUCUACCACAUAGCUAUAUUUAUAAAAUAGCUAUUAAUUUGUCUUCCAGUUUCUUAACUAAAGCUACUACUUUAAAAACAGUAAAAUAUUAGUUGUUGAUAUUUUACUAGCAUUUGUAAAGUGCCACAUAUUAUUUCAUGAACUCCUCAAUGACCCGGGAAGUUGAUCUUAUUGCCUCCGUUUUACAAAUGAGGAAACCGAGUCCUGGAGGGGGGCCGAGUUCUCCCCGAUCACACAGCCAGUCAGGAGCAAAGCUGAGAUUUACACUCUGUCUGAUUCCAACUCUAUUCCUUUGAGCUGGCUCCUUUGACUUCUGAUGGUCAUGAAACAACCAAUCCUUCCAAAAUGAGUUAUCAGAAUUGCAACCAAAACGCAUAAACCAUUAAUCUGUGAUUAAUCUGUCCAUUUUGAAAUAAGCAAACAUGGCUUCUGGGCACCUUAACGGGAGAAUCUUACACCUUGAGACAAAUGAGGACUUUCUGAUGCGAGUGUCUGAUGCUGUUUCUAAAGCAUCAUGCCCCUGGUGACAUAGGAGUAGGGUUGAAGGUGGGGUUGGUUGGCAUUUUUAGAUCCAGAAUUCUAGUGGUGGCUGUUCUAAAUGGUCCUUUCUGAGUCUUGGUUCCAAGGAGCAGUUGUUCUAGCUGGUGCUCAUCUUUCCCACUUGAUAUGAAGCUUCUUGAGGACAAGCUCCUUGAUAUUCCACAGACCCUGGGUACAGCGUACGGCAUAUAAUGGGGUUUAAUAGAUGUCUUGAGCUGCUGUGGAAUUAUGGGAGGGGAGUUCAGAGACAUCAUUACUUGCCUGGAAUGUGGAGAAGGAGAGAAUGCAAACAUCCUAGACAACAUGGACACAAAGAAGAAGUCUCUGGGGUAGGAGGAGAGGAAGUCAUGUAUGAAGUUGGGGUGAUAUAAAGACAACCUAUGGGCGCCUCCCUGCUCUGCCAGUGAUUAGCUGUGUAGUUUUGGGUGAGUCCAUUUGCCCUCUCUGAGCCCACAUUUCCACAAAGGAUGCUACCUGCUUAUCUUUACGAGACAACUCUCAUGAACACCAUAAGGCAGAGCAUACAUGAAACAUAUGGAAAAUAGUAAAAUGAUAGAAAUACGAUGUCAAUGGCAUCAACCACAGCAAUGAUAAGGAAAACUUCCUUGUGUUGAUUCCCUUCCUGGCAUUCUUCACACAUUGUCCUCACGACAACCCUCUGUGUCAUUAUCUCCAACUUACAGAUGAGGAAACUCUGAGAUAUUAUCAUUAUUAAUUAUAUAAUUAUCUAACACUCAAAAAAACCCUGACAUUUGCUCAGUUUUCUGGGAGAUGGAAGAGUGAGAGAAUUGGGGAGCCAGAUAUGGCACCGUGUUGGCCAAAAAGCAACCGUUCCAGUUAAGUCUAAUUCAGUUUGUGCUGGGAAUAUCCAUGCAACAUUAGAUUCACAAGGAAUUCUUUUUAUUCUAACCAAUAUAUUGAGGGGUGAUUGACCUACAAAAAGCUAUACCUAUUUAGUGUAUACAACUUGAUGAGUUUGGAGAUAAAUUUACAUCCUUGAAACCAUCACCACAAUCCAUGCCAUAAACAUAUCCAUCCCCUCCAAAACUUCUCUUCCAUCUUUGUUAUUUACUAUGGUUUUUAAAAGUGAUUCUUGAAAAGUAGACCUUGCUUUUCCAAGCAAACAUUUUGCACGACCCAUGGUCCAGGGAAACGCCCAGGACCUUCUGGAAUGGAUCCACGAGGGAUGCUUGGAUUGAAUUACAGCAGCCCAUUCUGAUGCCAAGUGGCCAGAGUUUGGGCAACUCCAUUACCUCAUCCUCUUUGCUGUGUUGAAGAAACAAAGAUAAUGACACUUUCCCAAGGCUGGGGCUGGGUAAGUCUUAAUUUGUGAGUGUUUGGAAAUGGCUUUGAAGAUGGCAAAGGUUAUUUAAGUGUUAAGUAUUAUUAUUUAUUGUGGUUCCAAGUUCUGUUUCUCCUCCCCCUUAUUGUCAGGCUACAAAACAAUAAAAGACAUGGAAAAAGAGCCUCUGAAGUAUCCAAACAUCAAUAAAUUAGGUAACUUUGGCCUGAGCCCUAUGAUGGUAUCUGCAAACCUAGCAUUAGCUUUGUGGCAUUUUUGUGUGGGCCGGUGGUUGCCUAAUUUGCCCUUAACUAUGCCAGCAGCACCCUGGUGCAGGUUUGGCACACACAGGUGAUGCAAGCACUCUUUGGACAGACCUGGGUUGCUGACAUCAUGCUUUGCUGUGUGCUCUUUGAGAUGCAAAAUAGGUUCUGGUGGAGCCCUGAUCCUUUCAUCAUUGACAUUUAAUGGAAGAGAAUUAACAUUCAUUGAGCCCUUCUGUGUGCCAGAUACUUUUAUGAACAUGAUCUCAUUUAUUCGCACAACAAUACAGUGAAGUGGGUAUGAAUGGCCCCAUUUUACAGAUGAGGAAACUGAGGCGCAUGGAAGCUAAACAAUUUGCCCUUGAUCAUAUAACUAGUAAGAGAUCUAAUUAGGGUUGAAAUCCAGGACCAUCUGGCUCCAAAGGCCACGUACUUUUGUUAUAUUAGACUGUAGGCAACACGCCCUAGAGUACUGUUCACCCCAAUUCCCUGGUCGAUUCCCCCAGUUCUCUGCUAAAGUCUCUUCAGUGUCUAUCCUUUGCUUUAAAUGGAAUAAAGAUCACACUCCUACUACGGGCCUGCACCAUCUGCCUCUGGCUCCCUCUCCAGCUCCACUCAACCCCACGCUCCUUUAUUUCAGUUCCUUGAACAUGCCAAAACUUCCUACCUCUGGGGUUUUUGCACAAACUGUCUGCAAAAGUUUACCCUUUCCUUUUUCUCCAGCUAUGUCUUGCUAAACCUUUACACAAAAUUUUCUUGGGGAUGUCUUCUCUGAAAAUAUGGAUCAGUAGUUCUUCAAGUGUGGUCCCUGGACCAGCAAACAGCAGCAUCACCCGGGAACUUGUGAGAAAUGCAAGUUCUCAGACCUCCCCGGAGGCCUGCUGAAUCAGAAACUCUGGACAUGGGCCCAGCUCUCCAGGGGAUUCUUUGCCUGCUUGAGUUUGAAAAUCAUCAGGGUUUCUUGAAACUGUUGACAUUGUAGGGUAUUUAGCAGCAUCCUAGCUUUUACCUAUUCGAUGUCAGUAGCACUCCCAUUCACGUCCUUGCCUCCUUCCAAGUUGUAAUAACCAAAAAUGUCUUCAGACCUGGCCUGAUGUCUCCUGGGGGGCAAAAUUGCCCCUGACUAAGAAUCACUGCGUUAGACUAAAGUGUGUUUCCCUGUGAGCACCCUAAACAAUUGAGGUUAUUAGUUAAUAACUUAUUGGACUCGUUUGUUUAAGGCGUGUCUCCAAUGUCAUAUUUCCAGCAGCUAAUACACAACUCGUUACCUAGUAUGUUCUCAGGAAAUACUGUUGUACUGACUAAGUGACCUGGCAAACUUGCACCACACCUCCUCAAACCCAGCCCUGUGUCUGAAUUUUCUGGAAGAGAUAGGGCUUGGGGGCCGGAGAGGGAUCACAGGCAAGCAGGAUCCUUCACAAUUUGAAGGCAAGUCUCCUCCGUCAGAACCCUGGGAGCAAAGGGGAUUUUCAUGCCCAGCUGGACAGGAACUAAGUACUGGUUCUUUUAAAAUAUAGCAGCAGAGAAUGUGAUUAAAUACAGGAGAAAGAAAAAAAAGUUCUCUUAGAUGAUGCAGAAGGCCCUCACCAAAGAUAGGCUCAGUGCCACUGUCACCGAAAGAGAAACAAAACCACAUUCUGCCGGCAAUAGCAAAAAGGAGAUUAUUGGCAACAAGACUUGACCCAGCCUGCCUUGGAGUGGCUUAAGUCUUUCUGUCAGUGGUACAUUCAUAUUAAAGAGGAGAGGAAAAGGCAGAUUCUGAUCCUUUUGCUGCUCUAUGUUUCCUCAGCCUGAGAAAUAAUUUCUAGAGCCAGGGAAAGCAGCACUGCGGAAUUGAGGAAGAAUGGAAUUCUCGCUUUCAAUCCUCCUCUAAAUUGAUGAUCAACGUCAUCCUCCUGGCUCCGUAUGAAGUGGUUGUGGACAUGGAACACUUGGUUGGCUACACAGGCAUCUGUCCUUCAUAGGGCUCACACCAAUGCUGAGAAUGAUGCCCACCGAGUUUCACAGGAAAUAUUUCAGACACAUGGCUGAUGGCAGACUUCAAGUAACAUGUAACUUAACAGAUCCUUAUGCUUUGGGAGUUGCAGUCGAGGUCUGAGAAGCCAUAGACCUAAGAUGCAAUUUUUUUGAGUUUAUCUGUAUCUAUAUAAAUACAUUUUAUUUUUUUCUCAAAGAAUAUUUCGAUUUUUUCUUGAAGAAAUUUCAAAAAAGAGGAAGAAAAAAUGGGGAAAAAAGACUUUUUUUCUAUUUUAAAAUUCAUUUUUGUUUUAUUUUUGUUACCAGACUCUUCCAGCAAUUUUCUUUCCUGCUUAAUGUUAUCUUUUAAGCCUGUCUCCAAGUUUUUGCAAAAUGACCAUUUUCAAAGUGAUACCUAAAUUCAAUUUCAAUUCAUUCCCAAAUGUAAAGUCAUUAAAAUGCCCCCAAAUUAGAAACAGAAAUACAAUAGUCUAGCCAUUCGGAAAGUACAUACUAAUGUGCUCACUUAAAGCUAAAGACUGAGCUCACAAUUACUUUAACAUUAGAGCUCUAAAAAAAUCAGUAAUUAUGAGUUUACUAAUCCACAAUUUGUAAUGAUUUGCAUAUGACUGGAGUGAAAGCAUAAUUUCAAACAUCUUCAUUAUAAUCUAUAUGCUAAAUUGAUUGAACCAAUCCCAUUGUUAGCAUUUGCUGUCAUAAAUAGCUUUACAACAAACAUGUCUAAGCAUUAUUUUUUUCUGCUAUUAAGAGCAUUUCCUUAGAAAUGAGGUCAGAAAUUCAAUCAUUAGUUCCAAAAAUAUAAGUGCAUCUAACUAUGACGAAAUUUCCAAUGAAACUGCUUUCUAAAUUAUGUUCCGGUUAGCACUGGGCGUAUCUAUUCAAUUUAACCUUAUCAGUAUCAAGUGACACUUAAAAAAAUACAUGAUGUAGAGGACUUCACCUCAGUGUUUGCAUUUCUUGGCUAACGACUCAGAUUGAAGGGGACAAGGUAGUAUGUGUAUUUGGUUUGAGGCAGACAUGCAUACACUGGAGCAUAAUCCAUCCAUCUCUCACUCUGCACCCUACAACACCAAGAACAGCAAUUCAGCUUUGAUUAGAGUUAAGUUGUUUUUCUUCCAGAAACUUCUCUUUUAUGCUUACGGUCAUGAAAUCUAUCGUAAAAACUGGUAGAAAGAAUACACUCCCCUCCUCCCCCCCCCAUAAAUUCAAAUUCCCAUGAGCGCUGGAUGGCUCCUUGCAGGAGUUAAAGAUAAUUUGUAGGGAUGCAUAUUUUCUUACAGAACCAAGUGACUGAAGGGAGUUGUAACCUGGUUUCAAAUACUCUUGGGCUUCCUCACUCAGAGCUACUUUUUGUCACUGCAAUUAGAGCAAGGGAGACUGGUUUUAAAGGCUAAGUGUAGUUGUCCAGUGAACAAAUGAUGGAGAAACACACACAGGGAGGGAGCAAUUUCCCUUCAUUUUCUUCCUUUUUCCAUUCUUCCUUUCCACCUUCCCACUUUCCCUCCUUUCUAUCUUCCUUCCUUCCUUCCUUCCCUCCUUCCUUCCUUCCUCCCUCCCUCCCUUCCUUCCUUUCUCUCUCUCUCUCUCUUUCUCUCUUUCUCUCUUUUUCUUUCUUCUUUCAUUAGGCAUCUAUUUAGUCUGAGGUAGAAUAUAUGGCAGAUAGAAUUUCAUUAGGAUAACGAAUACUACAAUAUCACUAUCAGUAGCCUUGGCUUAUUGACUGGUUAGGGUAAAACCCAAAUUGGCUGGACUGAAUGAGGAAUGCAACUUUUGGUAAAUAAAAUUUAAAACCAAUUAGGGAUAUUUUGGUGAUUUUUCUCUCCUUCAAUUCUUGUUGUUGAAACUCUUCUUUCCCCCCCUGAAAUGCAUCUCCUUGUUUUCAUGCUAGGAGGAGGAGUCCUGUCAUGGGAAUUAAGUUUUCUUAGAUAGAAAACCUUACGAAAUCUUUAUUCUGUGUAGUGAUUCUUGAAAAGGACUGAAGAUGCAGUUAUUAGGGAGGCGCCUUCCUUCUCCAGCCUCCAGGACAUACUCUGAAAACUGCCAUUUUGUUGUUACUGUGCAAACGUUAACUCAUUUCCCUACCGUGACGGAGACUAACUAGCAGCACAACACACCUGUUUCCUCUUCUUCCUGGGCAUGCAGCCUACAUUUCCCAGCCUCCUUUGCAUUUAGGUGUGGUCAUGUGACUGAACUCUAACCAAUAGAAUGUGAUCAGAAGUGAUAUGUCCCACUUUCUAGUCCAAACACAAGGAUCUCUCCAUGGUCUCUUCCAUGCUCUUUCCAGUCUAUCAGCUUGGUGCAGACACAGAUAAGCCAUUAACCUUGGGACCUCUGGGUUGACGAAGAUGGAGCCAUGAGAUGGAGAAAUCUGUUUCCUGGAAUCAGAAAGAAGGCCCCUUGCUAAUCAACACCACCCAUCUUGGAUUUUAUGUUUGUGAAAAUUUCUAAUGUGUUUUGGAUAUUGUACAUUUUUUAAAUUUGUAUGUAAUAGCAGCUAGCGAUAUCUCAAUUAAUGUUCUUAUCACUUGCUAAUAAAAGUAAAGUUGAAACCCAAAUUUCAGUUAACCAAUGUUUGUGAUGAGUUGACUUCCAGGGAAUCAAAGUUUUCUUACAAUCAAUAUAAACAGAGUUCUCUCCCAGAGAGAGGGAGCGGGGUGGGUAGAGGGCAAAUAUCCAGGAAUUAAGAAAGAGAAAUAGACCUUGCCACAUUUCUCUGAACAAAAGAACUCAACAGAGCAAUAAAUGACAUCCCAAAUAUACAAUGGAAAUUCUUCUCCCACGGAUUGUUGCUAAAUACCUCCCAGUUUGUUUGUCUGGGCUGAUGAGGUGCUUUCUGCACUGGGUGAGUUACUUCUUUCUUCUUUGUGGAUUGAUUCUCUUGCAGCUCCUAAAAACGUUUAUGCCAUUCAUAAAUAUUAUUUGACUGGAGGUAGUAUAUAUUUAACUGGGGCUCAUAAAUAUGCCCUUAAGUUUUUUUUCUUCGGUGUUCUGAUUCUUUUCUAUCUUCCCUAUUUCCCAUCACCCUUCUGAGACCCUAAGUCAAAGUAAAUUUACGUAUGUAUAUUUACAUAUUUCAUGGCUGUGUUUCUUUAUCAGAAGGAACCCUGAACUGGAGCCAGGAGGCCUUAUUCAAAUCACUGCCACUAACUAUACUUGUGACUGGUCAGGUUGAUUUCCCAUCUGUGUGACGGGAGUCAGAAAACAGUGGGAGACUGUGUUCUCUGUGCAAAGCCUGCCCAGCGCCCAAGAAAUGUGAGUCCCCUUUUCGUAGCAUGCCUUCCAGGUAUGACAUUCCAUGACAAAGUGAUGUAACCUGUCCCUUUUGAACUUCAUUCCUAAAUCUUCCUUCUCCAUUUUUUCUUCUUCCUUCUUUUUCUCUUGUUAUCCUGGAGGGAUCAUUCAGUGGUGGAGCCGGAAUGAUGGAUAUGCCAGGGUGGCUGAACUGUUGGCUCAUCUGGAAUUAUCCAGAUUGUGGGCUACUCAAUCAUGAAACAUUCAUUGAGCAUCUAAAAUUUGCCAGGUACUAUGCUAAGUGGGGUGUUUUUUUAACCUAAUUUUUACUGUGCUAUUUUCCUUUUUACACAAACAACACUGGCUCACUGUAGUCUUUUCUGAAAAUAUUUUUAAUAAUAAUAAUAAUAAUAAAUAAUUUAUACCUCCACUUUCUAGAGGCUACUACUACUAAUAGUUGGAUGUAUAUUUUUUCCAGAGUUUUUACUAUGUAAAUACGUACUUUAAAAAAGAGACUAUAAAAUUAUAUGCACAUCUUGUUUUAUAACCUGAUUUUUCACAUUAAUAAUCUGUUGACUUUAUUUCGCUUUCUCUUCACUGCUGGCUGGUUGGAGCGGAAGAGGUGAUCUUUCCCGCGUGUGAUGUAAAUUCAUUGCAGGAUGCAUAUACCAGAAAAACGCUACAAGGGGGCACUCCAAUGGACUCUAAGCUCAAAUUCAACAUUAAACCAAAAGGAGGUGAGGGUGCAAAUGAUGUCCGAAAAGGUUCUUAUUUUGAAUCAUUUACUGGAAACACCAUGGUCGCGUUAGAAACUUUUUUGUGAGUGAGAAGAAAAUUGCAAGACUGACCAGAUUCAAGAGUGAAACUCAUCUGUGUCAAUGUGUGUUGGCCCAAGUAAGACAGUCAUUCAAACACACCGCCCUUUUACUAACAAGGUGUGUGAGGCAGCUGAUCUCCUGCUCAUCCCCCAGUUAUAUCUGUGGGCUUUGUGGUGAAUGAACAUGGAUUGUCGUUUCAUCUCCUAAUCAACAAGAGAAUGAGUACUGGAAUAACAUCUUGGCAUCACCAGGAAGAGAAAGAAUCUAGAAUCCCUGCCAGGGUCUCUGAGCAUGUCAAGCAAUUUGAAUCGGUGAGUAUGUCACUAACCACAUCUGUGUGAUAGGAAAAUACCUGAUUCUGUGUGUUUGGGCUCUUGACUGCCAGCUGAGCUGACUGCAUGGCUGAUCCACAUCAAUGUGGGAAAAUUGCCUGUUAAUCUUUUAUUCCCAUGUUCUUAUUCAAAGAACACUGUUCCUAAUUUGCCUGUGUUGUAUGGACCCAAUAAUUGAAAGAACAUAAAGUAUUGUUUCCAGCUGGAGAGCAAUCUCCUGGCUUAAACAUUAAAAAAAUUAAAUACACAUACACACAUCUUCAUUAUAAAAGGUAGUAAAUUAAACCCAUCAUAGAAAAUUUAGAAAACAAAGGGGAAAAAAUCACGCUUAAUCCCACGACUUUAGCACCAUUAUUCUUAGCAAGUUGAUGAUUUUCCUUCCACAAAUCUUCCUACUUCUUUUUACAUUUUUAUUUGUUGUAACAGUAUUCAUACAAAGCUGUUUCCUUACUUUCCCUUAACAUUUUAACAGAACCAUUUUCCUUAUUGUUAUAAUACAGUAUCCAUGGCCAUAACUUUUAAAUAGUUAAAUAUUGCUCCCACAGACCUUGUUAAUUUUCCAGUUCUCACUAUAAGAAUGGCUUAUUAGAUCUAAUUUUGACUUUCAGAGCCAAUGGUGAAGAGGUAUGGAAACGCAGGUUUUUCUUUGCCAUUGGUCAGAGCUCUAAUAACACCCCAUUGUUAGGCUUGGGGUUUCAUGGUCUUCGCUAUUUGCAGAUGAAAUUUGUUACAAAGUCAUUGCAUCUUUGUGGAGGGAUCUGAGAAAUAUCUGAUCCAAUUGCCUCGUUUUGUAGAAGAGGAGAUUGAGGCCCGUUAAUCUGUGUGAUGGUGGCCCCAGGUGAGAAGGUGUGCAUCCUUUUUAGGAACAGCAAGGAGGCCAGUGUAGCCAGAUGACAGUUAACAAGGGGGAGAUGGCAAGGACAUAAGGAUGGAAGGAAAGUGUGUGUGUUUGUGUGUGUGUAUAUGUGUGAGAGCUCACGUAGGGCCUUAUGGUUCCCAGUAAGGCCUUGGACUUUUACUCUGAUAAGAUGGACAGCCAUAGGCACCACUCUGGCUACUGUGUUGAGAAUAGAAUGUAGGGGGAAGAGUGAAAGGAGGAAGAUCAUUGGAGGCAACGCAGAAAUACAGACAGAGAUGAUGGUGGCUCAGGCUGGAGUGGUAGCAUGAAGGUGGCCAGAAGUGGUCAGUUUCUACAAAUAUUUUAAAGGUUGAGAUGAUAGUAUAUAGUAUUUGAUAGUACAUGAGAUGAUAGUACAGAUAGAUGGAUUAGAUGUGGAGUGUGAGGGAGAGAGAGGAGUCAAGCCCGGACUUCCAGUUCUUUUGGCCUAAAUGACCAAAUACCUGGUAUUUCCAUUUACUGAAGCAGGGAAAACUUCAGGAGGAACAGAUCAGGGGUGCAAAGGGGCGGCAUAGAGAGGCCAAAAUCAGCAAUUCAAUAACAAUUCAAUUGCUGUUUAUCAGACAUUCGAGUGGAGAUAUCAAAGUAGCAGUUGGACAUACAAGUCUAGAGUGCAGGAGGUGGGUGCGGAGAUAUAAUUUGGAGGUUUUGAUUGUUGAAUGGUGUUAAAAGCCUUGAGACCGGAUGAGAUGACCUAGUGGGUAAGAGUAGUUUAGUAAGAGAAGAGGACUGAGGACUCCUUUUUUGGAGAGAGGAGGAGGAGCCUAUGGAGGAGACCACAAAACAGCAUCCAGUGAGGUGUUUAAUGGCUGCAUACCACCCCACCACAUGGAGAAACUGUAAUUUGCUGAGCCAUUCCAUUGGGGAAGGACAUUAAGUGGCUUUCUGUAAGUACUCUAAAAUUUCUACUACCCACAUUCUAACAAUGUUCUCCGGUAUUUCCCUGGCCCUUCAUGCAGACAUCAACUAUAUGUUAGUACCUGGUGGGCUGAUGCCCUAAUCAAAACCCUGGGGGCACCUCAUUAGAUCUCUGACUAAUUCAGUGUUUUGUAUAAUUUAUUAUAAUUAGGCUUGAACUGGGCUAAAGUUAGCCUUUACACCGUCACUGAUGUGAGAGAAAUUCAUUCCAUUCAAUCCAAUAAUCCUUAUUAAUUGUAUAAAUUAGCUAUAAGUUAGCAGUAAAUUAGUUAAUCUAUACUGGGUAAUGAAUAGUAUAAGCAGUUCUGGCAGUGAGCAAAAUCUACUGACAGGAAUGAACUGCUUACAAAGACUUUCAUGCAUUCUUUCCUUGGUUACAAUGACGGAAACUCUGGCACUAUGGUUUUCACCUCAUCUCCGAGGUACCUGACCUCCUGCAUGCUAUCCAGAAGCUCUAGGAUAAAAGAGGAGGUGAAAUCACAGGUUCUGGGAUCAUCCAGGCCCAUAUUAGAAUCCAGGCUUCCACUCAUUGGUGGUGUGGCCUUGGGAAAGCGCCUUCCUAUCUCCAUAAUGAGACUAUAAUAUGAAUAACUACUGUAGAGAGUUUUAAGAAUUAAAUGAAAUAUGGUAAAUAAAACGGAUGGACAGAGUAAGUUCUUCACAAUGAUGAGCUCCCUAACUUUUCCUGUGAGUUUAGUUUUCAAAAUCAGCUGGAAUGACAUCUCCUCUAGAAAAGCAAAUUGGUUAUUCCCAAUUGCAAUGAUCGUCAUUCUGGAAGCUCACACAACAUGCAAAGGUUGCCUCCAUUUUGUGUUAUUUUGUACUAACUGCUAACUUCUUCAGUUUCAACCAAGCCAUCACCUCCUCCCAAAGGGCAUUUUUGACUGUCUAAUGCUCCUCCGUGCCCCACCUGCAUACAUGUCUUGUCAGUAUACUCACCCCUGUAAGUGCUGAACCGCGUGGAAGGUUAAACUGCUUGGCAUGCGAUAGACGCUAAAUGCGUGGAAUGAAGGAGUGAAUGAUAUCCGUGCUUCAAGGAAGGUACAGUGUGUGAGGUGGCUCUGAGGGACAGUAAGGAUCUGGAUGUGUGAAGAUGAGAGUGGCAGCCCGGAGAACAUUCCCAACAGAAGACUGGUUUAAGUAAGUACAUAGAUGUAAGCAAAUGCGGUGCUUCCAUGAAGAAUAGCAGAGAAUGGUUUUGUUGGCUGUGAUGGGUUCAAGAAGGGCAGCAGUGAGAUAAAACUCGGGCUGUGGGCUGGGGUCAGCUACAGAGAACCUUAAAUUCCAGGUCAAGGGAUUCGCAUUGUUCCUUAGCAAAUAAAAAGGAGCCCUUGCAGGUUUUUGAGGAGUUCUGUGACUUAGCAAAAUUCAUUGGUAUUAGACUUUAAAAUAUAUUGGGAUGGAGCAGGGCAUAUUGGAAAAGGCAUUGUAACAGACAUAGAUUUGGAUUUGAACCCUAACCUGGUAAUUUACUGGGUAGCUUCAGGCAUAUAACAACUUCUCUCAGCUUUGCUCAGUUUCCUCGUCUACAAAACAGAAUAAUGAGAAAUACUGUUAGAGUGGUUAUGGAGGUUAGAGAAAGAGUAUGUCUUGUGCUUUUCUUAGUCCCUGGUAAGUAGUAAGAGCUUAAGAAAGAGUAUUUAUUAAUAUUAUAAUAGGUCAGAGAAGGAAGAGACCGAAAAAGAGGGAUCUCUGGGAAAUUUGUGCAAGAGUCUUGAUGAGUUUCCAGGAGGUCCUUGACAGAGAAGUGGCAGUGGAGAUGCUGAGAAGGAAAGUGAGAAACUUGCAAAUGAUUAGAAGUCGGAAUCAGAGGAGAGCGGAAGUUGGCUCUGAGAUAGUCAUGAACACAAGCGUGACUCCUGCUGUCAAAGAUCUUAGAGUCUUAUUUCAGAGACAAACAUCGUGUCAAUGGGUUAAUUAAGGCACAGAGCCCAAAUGAGACAGCGUGGGAUAGACUUCUGGAGACACAGAAAAACCAAUAAUAAGUCAUGGGUGAAGCAGCUGCAGUUUACUGAGCACCUGCUUCGUGUCAGGAAAUGUGCUGCAUAUAUUUCCUUACUUAAUACUCAUUUUAGAGAUCAGGAAACUAAAGUGUGAGAGGUUCAAUAAUUCCUCAAACACAGAGAUCUGGCAGGUGGCUGAGUUGGAAUCCAAAGCCAUAUCUGUCUGAUUCCAAUGUAUGUCCUCUUAAUCAUUCUCCUAGUAUAUAAAAUACACAAUGAAUGCUCUAGAAAGGAAUUAUGUUGGGUUCUAAAGUGUGGGGUGGGUUCUCAGUGGGAGGAGGGAGCAUUUGAAGCACAAAAAAGAACAUGAGUGACAUGCCAGGAAUCAGCUCCUUCUAUCCAUGGGGCAAUGAGGAAACUAGCGUAAUCAGCCAGGGUUAUAUUUGAUAUUAUCUUUUCUCCUGGGGAAAAAAGUAAUGUGAUUCUUUGUUUUCCAAAAUAAAGUUAACUAUAAAGAAAAUUUCUUUCCAGAUAGACUCUCAAGAAACAGCAGUAUCUGUUCAUGAAGAACAAAAUCAGUGGUUAAUUGAGUUCAAAAUUUUACAAAAGUGGUAAAGUUUGUAGCAUAUUUUAAGAAUGUUGCUUUGCUAUCGGAACUCAGCAUUGUUCUGUAGUCUCUGCUGUCUUCUUUUUGUGGUACCAUUGUUUUUCCGCUCCAUUGUCCAUUAGAAUUUAUUCCAGUCUUGAAAUUCCUUUGAAGCUUUUCUUAUGGAUCCUCUUUAUCCCGGUGGUCUCUCCUGUCGCCAAUCUUCUACACACGGCACCAUCCCCUUUCCAGGUACACUUGAUUCUCAUUAUUCACAGUAAAUAUGUUGUAUAAAGUUGCCAUGAACACUGAAUUAGUGAAUAUUGAACUCUUGCUCCUAAGCGAAAUAUAAAAUCAGGUUCCUGCGACCCUCUGGUCACAACAUUUUCAUCAACUGAUCAGUACAUAAGCUUGCUUUCUGUGUGUUUCUACUUAAAGACACCUUAUUUAACAUACAGUGUUGAUUCGUUAACAUUGAACUCACAGCCUAGAGCACUAUAACUCACAUUUGAACAAAGCUUAUCUAACGUGUGUUUUCUCUGUCAGGCACAUCACAGCCUUCUUGUGCUUUGGGACACUGGACAGCACUUCAGCACUACCAUCGGGGGCCAUUUUAAACAGCGAACCAACAAAAAGCGCAAAAGCGCGAAAAAUGUGGUGCUAAAUAGAUCAGGAAAAGGACACCUGUUUACAAUAAGACAGCUGAAACAAGAAGGGAGAGCAUCACUCUGUUGGACUAUAGCUGGGGAUGCACACAACGCGUAAGGCAAAAUUUUGGUGCUCUGCACAAGUGUUAUGAAGGACCCUGAAAGAGCUGUGGCUAUUGAUUUUGCGGUUACAAAUAAAUUUCAGCAGGAGACCCCAUCAUCUCUGAGAGGCCACAUGGAGCAAAACACAGUCAUCUGAACCAAGGGCUUCUUAGACCAGCCAGCCCCCAGCUGACCCACUAGCAGAUCACUGAUGCAUGCGUGAAUCCAGUCAAGAUGAGCUGAGCCCAACCUAUAUCAGAACAGUCCAUCCGACCUACCAGCUAAAGAGAAGGAAGAAAAGUUUGUUGUUUACAUUGUUGCCAUUUAUUGACCAUAUACUACGUGCCAGAAAUUGCUAAAUUCAGAGAACACAAUGACGUACGGAAUCUGAUCUCUGCUCUUGAGUAGGUCAAGAGCAUUCAAAGUGAGAUUAAGAUGGGAAAGGGCUACAAUGUCUAUUUGACAGAUGGGGAAAACUGAGGUAUGAAAGAGUGCUACAGUUUGCUUAAACGGGGACUGAGACAUUGCGGUUGCGCUACGAGGAGAAGGCCAGAACUUGGCCGUCCUUAAUGUAAGCAUUUACUCAGAGGAAAACUGUUAAUCAGUUGGAAAAAUGGAAAGAACACUUCCUUUGCAAUCUUCGCCUCUCCUUUCAAAUUUUUAUUUUAACUUGCACUUAUUUGGCAAUGUAGGAAAUAUAAAAAAUGUGCCCUAGCUUUGCUUACAUUUUACAUGGAGAGAGGAGAUAUAACUGCCCAGAAUUUCGAUAACGAUGCAAGAGUUUAAGGCCGAUAUUCACCAGCUAAAAUGAGAUGAUCAUUUUGAAUUAUACUGUCCCCCAAUAGAUCACGGUCAUAUCCACCAGACUUUGAGCUCCUGGGACCUAGGACCUGCGUCUUGCAGCUAGCAGGGAAAUGAGUCAUUGAGAUAAUUAGGCAUACAGUUUGCUUUUGCUUUAAGAGGACCAAUUCUAAAUGGCAUUCCUGUUAUAUUUCCUUUUGUUUUUUCGUUUGUUUUGUUUUAACUUUAACGAGUAGAAUCAGAGCAUUUCAUGUCUAUCAUGGGGAGGAGAACUGACAUUUGUCAAACACUUGCCACAUUCUAGGCCCCAUGUCAGGCCUGUUAUGUUCUUAAUGAAUUUAAUCCUCACAGUGACCAUACGAGGCAGAUUUUUAUCUCUGGCCCUGUACAGAUGUCAAUACUGGGCCUCUCUGAGUAACCUGUCAAACUUCACACAGUAAGUAUGUGGAAUAGAAUUUUUUGACUUAAAACUUAUUUCCUCGCUCCAUGCUAACACUCUACCUUGAAUCUCAGCUGGAUCAACCCCUUACCUAGUGACUUGUAAAUCUUCAAUUUGAAAAGUUUUGCAAUGAAGGGAGAGAGGAGGAAAGCCAUAGUUUAGAAGAGGACUCACACAUUUUCAGCUGGAGAACAGUGGGAGCCCCAGAGAUUAUGGAGUCGCCGUGGGAUAGAUUAGCAUGUGGGGUAUGUAAUGACAGGGUCCCCAGACAUUCCUGGAUUGAAGAGUUUGUGCAUGUCUUCCUGCUUUCACCAGCUGUACUUGCCUCUGAUUUAAUUAUAUGCUCAGGGUACAGAUGCCUCUAGAAUUGCAGGCCGUCGCUUGCUUCCCAGGAAGGGUUAUUGGUUAGAUGACGCUCAGCUUAUGGAAUGCAGAAAAAAAUAGAUGUUGGCUUGUCCCUUAGCAGUGGAGAUACAUUUGAAUCAUUGUGAGCCAAGAUUCAUUCAUUAGUUCAUCCAAAAAUAUUUAUCGAUUACUUGGUGGACAUUUAUAUUUUUCUUCACCUUAACAGGAAAGUGGACAGAGUAUUCCAUUAUCCUGGUAGAAUGAUUAGUCCAGAGCAUAUAUUUGGCCUGGGAUAUAAGCCAAGCAAGAGUCCAAUAUAGGGAAUUAACACGGACACUCAGAGGAACAGUGUCUCUCAGAUCUUGAGCUGAAAAGAUUUUGAAAGACUGGGGUUGCCAGGGGUCACUUUACUCACCAUGCUAAGAAAAUCUGCCUGAGAAGGAAGCUGACACAGAGGAAAGCAGACCCAAGACAUGGAGAGAGAGGAAAUAUUUGAACACCUGGAUCCUGCCAUGCCUGAAUCCCUUGACUUUUGUAGCUACAUUGAACAGAUUCUCUCACGGCACUCAACACUAGAAUUGGGAGCUGGAAACAGGAGGAAUAUGAAUUCCUUUCCUUUGCCUAAUUUAGAUAAGUGUCUUCAAUUUGUAUGGGAAGGACGCAGAGCAGUCUGUCGGAGACAUCGCUGAUAUUAUAGAGCAAGCAGAAUGUUUGGAGUCAGAGCUGUGGGUUUGAAUCUAGUCCUUGAAUUCAUUCCUUUAAAAUCUAAUUAUGGGACCUACUGGUCUGGUCCCAGGAGUUGGGACUAUAAUAAGCUGUUUUCUCAUCCCACAGUCAGCUCCCAGUCUGGUGGGGCAUGCGAGCUUACUAAGUGGCUGCAUAAUUUAAAGAAAUUAGUUGACCUCCUGACCCUCAGUUUCUGAGCUGUGAGAAGCAAAUGAACUAGUGGAUAUGAAAGCAUUUUGUAAAUUGUGAAGAGCCCACGCCCAAAAGCUCUGCAAGUGUGGGGCCUGUCUUGAUAACCACUGACCAAGUACCCAUGUACUUAAUUAAGUACCGAGUGCCUGACGAUCAUGUGGUUAAUGCUCAACAUGCUUGUUGAAAGAACACAAUAACUUGUGCUAUUUAGCAAAUCCUUUUAGCUAGAUGCUCAAAAAUUCCUUUUUCUUUUUAUAACCUAGCUUAAAAUGUAUCACUAGAGAGAGUCCAGCUCCCUUGACCAUGAGAAACUCUAAUCCGGAGGGUCCCUGUGGACAUUUUAGUCCCCUCUGUACCAGUUAACUAUUGCUGCCUAACAAACCAUUACCACACAUGCUAAAAAAAUCCCAACUAUUUAUUAUUUUUCUUGAGUCUAUGGGUCAGCUGGAUGGUCCCAGUAAUGUGGGCUGGUCUGGGCUGAUCUUAUCUAUUCUCAUGCAUCAGACGCCAGCUAGUGGGCCAGCUGGGGAAUGGUCUGUAUAGGAUGGCACCACAUGGAACGACUUCAACAGGCCAGUCUGGGUUCUGUUCAUGGUGGUAGUAUGUUUCCAAAAGUCUGCAGCAUUGCUCAAGGCCUCUUGAAGCCUGAGCCCAGAACUGGCCCAGUUCCUCCAUAUUCUGUUUUCCAAAGCAAGGUCUAAGGCUAGGCCAGAGCCAGGGAGUAGGAACAUAGACUUCACCUUUUGAUGGGAGGAGAUGUAGUGUCACGUUGCAAGUGGUACAGAUCCAGGGAGGAGAGAAAUUGGAGAGUGUAUGCAAUCAAUCUAUCAAAUAUCCUUUGAGCUAAGGUGGGAAAGUCAUUUAAAGCUGUAAACUCAGAAAAGGAAAAUGUGGAUUCUCUCCUCUCUUACCUCUUUACCUGAUCCCUUCUCUUUUUGCCCACUGACACUGCCCUGGCGAGGUUUUCGUGAUCUCUGUUGCCUAGACAAUUGUAGUAGCUCCAUACUGAUCUGCCUGCCUCCAAAGCAAUUUGACAAACAUUUCUUUAGCGCCUUCUAUCUCCCCAGUGCUGUGCUAAGCUCAGAAGAAGAAACAGACGUUCUAAGAAUGUAGUCCUUCUUUCUGGCCUCAGCCCAGAAGGAAGGACAGACAUUUUCCACCCGUAAGACAGACUGAUAAAUGCUUUUAUGCCUUCUCACUGCACAUUCCUCUCCACUUGGUCAUCAAGGUUAAUUUAACAAAGUUCUCCGUGUUGCCUACAAUAUAAUGGGCCUGUUUCUUAUCUGGCAUUCAAGGCAUUCAUGAAUUGCUCCCAAUCUCUCUUUCUAGGCUCUUGCCCCAUUACUUCUGGGAGAGACACCAACUCUUCUAUUGUAUGAAAUUUCCAUUGUGUUCCACUUCCUAUGUCCCUCAACUGUAUUUCUUUGCAUGUGUCAUUUUCUCUCUCUCUAUACGCUUACCCCUUCUCUCUACCUGUUGCAAUACCAUUCAUGCUCACUUGUCAACCUCCUCUGAAGAGCUUUCCCUGCCCAACUGAGUUAGAAUCAUUGUCUUCUUUUUCUGUUUCCCUAAUCAUUGUUUUUUUGCUAUAAUGUCAUAUUCUUGGAUUAUGUACUAUGCUGGAUUGCAACUUCCUGAGUGCAGGUCUCAGCCUUGUCACCUGGAUGUCCAUCGAGUUACCUGGUGUGUCCGCCUCACAGUAGGUGCUGAGUUGAUGCUGUUGACCUGAGUCGAAUCACUUCCGCUUCCUUCCACCCGCUCUGCAGCCCUGCCUCCAAUCUCAGAGCCGCCUAGAGUCACGGUCACUUUCCAGGACUCCGUGUGAGAGGCACUUGAGUUGAGAUGUGCCCUAGGCUGCUGAAUUGGCAUGAGUUACAGGCCUAAAAAAAGUCCUGCUCUGUACUAGGGGGUCAGUUACUAAUUGUAAUUCCUUCUCUGGCCACUUUUCUGAGGCUUGAACUCAAAUUGCCUUACUCACUUUAUUUUUAGGUGUCUGACAGUUUAAAAGAGGGCUGGUUUAUUAUUAUACUAUGAGUAGCCCUCGGAAACUGGGUGCCCUGAUUAUGAUAAUACAAGCUGUUCAGAUGAGAUUCUUCUUUACUCCAAGUUUGAAGCCCCGUGUUUUAGGUGAGUGGCCUUCAGACUUCAGUGUGAGUAAGAAUCAUCCAGAGCAUUUGGAAGCAUGCGGAUUCCUGGGCGUUACCUCCAGAGUUUCUGAAUUCCUAAAUCUGGGCAGGACCCAGGACUAUGUAAUUUUCUCUGGCUCCCAGGGGAUUCAGCUGUUGGCUGCCUACACUUUGAGAAAAAUUACUAUAGAAUUAUAAGCAUCAGACAAUGAAGAAAAACGUUGGCUGCAGUUGGGCAACUGACGUGAUGCCAAAGUUAUCAUCACAUCCCAGAGACCAGGGAGGUCUCCAAAUACCUCUCUUUUUGCCUUGCCACUCCUCUGCUCAAGAACACUCAAUGGCUCCAUCUUUCCUCUGCUGGAUCAAGUCCAAACUCCUCCCCAUGCCAUUCCAAUCUCGACUCAGCUGCUCCUUGAUGUCUCUCCUUCUGCAGGAUGGAGAUUUCAUCUCCACGGCUUAGCUUUCUGCUUUUUGUGUCCCAUCUCUUCUUCUUCAUUAAGAAUCACCAAAAUUUGAUUGGAUGUUUUCCAUAUAUCAGCCACUGUCCCAUACAUCAGUUUAUUGAAUCUUCAGCUCGGUCCUGGGAUAAAGGUAUUACCGUCAUUCCCAUCGCUGCUGCAGAUGAGUUUCUGUGACUUGCCCACGGUCACACAACUGGCAAGUGGAGUUCAAACCCAGAGUGAUGAUCUAAGCCAUUGUCCACGUGUGUGAUACUGUGAUGUUUAGGUGAAGUUAUACAAAUCACUUUCUUCCUUCGAGACUCAGUCAAGUACCCUCCUGAACUGAGAAGUAAACCCCCUUUUUCCUCAUCUGUAAAUUGGCUGUGCCUGCCUAGCUCGAAGGUAUCUGUGAGGAUCAAGGGCCGUCAGGUACCGGAUGUACUGUGUACGGUGUCUGGCACAAUCUGGGUGACCAAGUGGUACUACUGGCUGGAUGCCAUUCCCCUAGAAACCCACAUCAAGUCUUUUCAGGCAGGAGAGAUGAAAAUAGUGUGGCUUUUGAGGAAUGAUGAGAUUAAAUUACCAGAAAAAAUUCUCUGGCAUCAAAGCACGAUUUCCCCUUUUUCCUGUGGGUCAGAGGUAUCACUCAAGAAUAAAGAUGUGAGGAACCAUCCUUCCUGCUGAAACAUUUUUUAUCUCCUCUUCAAAGAGUAAUCUCAGGGCAGCCACAGCCAUGGAAACACAAUGUGGCAGGUGUAACUGUGCUGGGGAUUAGAGGCCCAUUUUCUCCCAGCAGGAGGAGAAAAGCUGCGGUCAGGGAAGAUGAAUGGACCGGGGCUGUUUUGUCACGGUCUGCAAAGAGCACAUUCUCCCAGCGCCUCGAUCAAUCAGGGCCUGGUAUUGAAGGCCCUCUGCUAUCACUUUUGAGUGACUUGCAGCCCUAUUGUGUCACCAGUGAGGGACUUCUCAUCUGCUUGGGUGACCCAAAAGUGUGAUGAGGCUUGCAGUAGGGCCUGGCCCACAAUUAAGAGCAGAUUUAUUUGUUUCUUUGUUCCUUCGUAGCAGCUGGAAAUGGGGGAUACGUGGAGCUUUCCUUAAGAAGAGCUGCCUUGCCUGUGUUUUCACAGUUUUGCCCGUUCGGUCAAGUGUGGAUGAAGCUGUUACUCUGGUCUCUCAUAAGGAAAGGGAGCCUCGUGUGUGGUGGGCAUGAGGUCAGCCUCUGAGGACAUAAACCUGAUGGAGACGCAGGCCUCAUGAGGAGUUCACGGUGAACCUACAACCAGCGUUUAUGGAGCACCGGUGUGCCCGAAGGAAAACAGAGCCCAGAUAAUUUAAAGGACUCACAUGCGCUCCCAGAGCUAGUAAUUUCCGGAAUCCAUAACCAGGCCUCCAGAUAUGACAUCCAGGGCUUUUUCCAGGGACCAGCAACUCCAGUUUUAAGAAAAGAGCAAAGCCAGUUACAUCGUUCCGCACAAAGGCCCUGCUAGAGCUGAGCUACCCAGAGACCAGACCAGAGUGGAUUACUGAAUAUAACUAACCAAAUAAAAGUUAACUGAAGGACUAAAUGUGAUCACAUGGAGAAUGGACUCAUCUCUUGCCAGGACUGAGCUUCUCAUCUACUGGCUUGGGGAGCAUUUGGCUGCCUUUUCCCCUUCCAGGCUGGGCAAACAGCUCAUUCUGAUGACCUGAGAGAUGAGCCUCUGGUGAUGUCAGUCUCCCCCUGGGCACGGGGGCCCAUUAUCACAUGCACUUGACCUUCACUCUCCAAUAUGCUGGAUCUCAGCUCAGGAGUGACUCAGCGACGGUACUGGACCUGGUGAUCAUGCAUUUUCAGCAGACUUGCCGAAUGAACGCUACCCAGGAGCGACGCAAUGCCAUCACACAUCCUUCUUGGGAGCAACUCGAAAGCCUGCCUUUCGAGUUUACUUCUGUUACUCUCUCAGCUCAAGGCCUGAGUCAUUUCACUAAAUGAGUGUUCUGCCUUGGCCCUCUCCCAGUCAACAGCUGCAAGGUACCAGAUUGGCACGAAGCAGGUCCCUGUGCGAAGUGCUGGGGAAUGGGAGAUGAAUAAAGCAUGGCUUUUCUCCUUAAGGAUUGACUCCUCGUUAAGAAGACACGAGUGGAAGGAACUUACAGUGCCGUGGAGAAAAUAACGCAAGGAGCUCGAGAGCAAGGAGGCAGGGAGUGAGGACUCUUCUGAUACAAGUGACACCAUGGAGAGGCAUCUGGAGGACAGAAGAAGGAAACACUGCUGAUGGAGUGGCGUGUGCAAGUAGCUGAAGAGAGACCUAAGUCAACUGACUCAAUGAAGAUGAGUUCAUACAACGUAAAUCAGGAGAAGAUGUGGAUUUUAAGCGUGGGUCUUUGAGUGUUCAAAUUGGUCUGGGCUUCAUAUAAUGUCAAAUAUCUAGCAAGGAAAUUAAAUUUUACUUUCAAAAUCUUACUUCCAACAUUUCCCUACAUUUGUCCCUUUGUGUACUGGAACUGAACAUUUUGAUUUUUGCCAGUGUUUUCAAUGCUCUGUGGACUUGACCUCUGUAUCCUGCCAAUAUUUUCUUUUCUUCUUCUUUUUUUUAAAGUUCUUUGACUUUAUUGUUAU